UCAGGAGUUUAUCAACUUCCUCAGCUAUUGCCUUCCGCCUUUCCGGUGCAUGACCUCAAAUUUUUUUCUUCAUUGGCCGAUGCUUGGGAUCAACGGCUAGACGAUGUUCCAUGAUUUCCGCAUCAAUCCCCGACAUGUCCGUCGGGACCCAAGCGAAAAUAUCUGCAUUCUUUUGUAAAAAAUUGAUAAGCUGAGUCCGUACCUCUUCUCCCAGGUUGGAGCUGAUCUUCACCACA
rnacentral:lncRNA from 1 species